rnacentral:rRNA from 1 species
CCUACGGGAGGCAGCAGUGGGGGAUAUUGCACAAUGGGGGAAACCCUGAUGCAGCGACGCCGCGUUGGCGAAGAAGUAUUUCGGUAUGUAAAGCCCUAUCAGCAGGGAAGAAGAAAUUACGGUACCUGAGUACGAAGCACCGGCUAAAUACGUGCCAGCAGCCGCUGUCAUACGUAUGGUGCAAGCUGUAUCCGGAUUUACUGGGGGUAAAGGGAGCGCAGGCGGCACGGCAAGCCUGAUGUGAAAGCCCGCGGCCCAACCGCGGGACUGAAGUGGGAACUACCGGGCUGGAGUGCCGGAGAGGUAGGCGGAAUUCCUAGUGUAGCGGUGAAAUGCGUAGAUAUUAGGAGGAACACCAGUGGCGAAGGCGGCCUACUGGACGGUGACUGACGCUGAGGCUCGAAAGCGUGGGGAGCAAACAGGAUUAGAUACCCCAGUAGUC